rnacentral:rRNA from 1 species
CUCGCCUACAUGAAGUCGGAAUUGCUAGUAAUCGCGGAUCAGCAUGCCGCGGUGAAUACGUUCCCGGGCCUUGUACACACCGCCCGUCACACCAUGGGAGUCGGUAACACCCGAAGCCUGUAGUCUAACCGCAAGGGGGACGCAGUCGAAGGUGGGAUUNAUGACUGGGGUGAAGUCGUAACAAGGUAAC